rnacentral:ncRNA from 1 species
AAAGCGGCUCUUUUAAGAGCCAUCAUUUUUGCUAAACGAAUUAAA